AACGAACGCUGGCGGCAGGCUUAACACAUGCAAGUCGAGCGCCCCGCAAGGGGAGCGGCAGACGGGUGAGUAACGCGUGGGAAUCUACCCAUCUCUACGGAAUAACGCAUGGAAACGUGUGCUAAUACCGUAUACGUCCUUCGGGAGAAAGAUUUAUCGGAGAUGGAUGAGCCCGCGUUGGAUUAGCUAGUUGGUGGGGUAAAGGCCUACCAAGGCGACGAUCCAUAGCUGGUCUGAGAGGAUGAUCAGCCACACUGGGACUGAGACACGGCCCAGACUCCUACGGGAGGCAGCAGUGAGGAAUAUUGGACAAUGGGCGCAAGCCUGAUCCAGCCAUGCCGCGUGAGUGAUGAAGGCCCUAGGAUUGUAAAAUCCUUUCACCGGUGAAGAUAAUGACUGUAGCCGGAGAAGAAGCCCCGGCUAACUUCGUGCCAGCCGCCGCGGUAACAC
rnacentral:rRNA from 1 species